ACAUUAAAGGAUGGAGGGAUAGUGACGACACUGUACUACACAUUGCUACAGCAGAAGCGUUGGUUUCUGAAUCGGCAACAACGGAAGAGUUAUGGAGCAUUAUGGCUACAAAGUACAAGAAGACAUGUGCUGAGGAUAUGUGGGAAAGAGCUCCUGGGCAGACCACAACAAAGGCAUGUUUCAUGUUACGACCUCUUGAGGAAAAAGGUUACAUUAUACCAUUUAGGGUGGCGGAUGUGGUGCAGCUAUGAGAUCCAUGUGUAUAGGUUUGAUGUUUCCUUGUGAAGAUCAAAUUGAAAUGUUAAUUGAAAUUGCUGUUGAAAGUGGAAGGAUGACUCAUAAUCACCCCACAGGUUAUCUAGGGGCUGUUACUGCAGCUUUAUUUACAGCCUAUGCUAUACAGAAGAUGGCCAAAAAUGGGAGCAGGACUUUUAAGUGUUUUACCCAAAGUUUGGGAAUACAUUGAGAAGGUUGGUCGUGAUGUAGAA